CUCAGUAACACGUGGAGAACGUGCCCUUAAGUGGGGGAUAAUCUCGGGAAAUUGAGGAUAAUACCCCAUAGGUCAUGGGAUCUGGAAUGACCCAUGGCUGAAAGUUCCGGCGCUUAAGGAUCGCUCUGCGGCCUAUCAGGUAGUAGUGGGUGUAACGUACCCCCUAGCCUACGACGGGUAUGGGCCUUGAGAGAGGGAGCCCAGAGUUGGAUUCUGAGACACGAAUCCAGGCCCUACGGGGCGCAGCAGUCGCGAAAACUUCACACUGGGGGGAACCCCGAUGAGGGAAUUCCUAGUGCUUGGGCAUUUGUCCAAGCUUUUCCCGAGCGUAGAUAACUCGGGGAAUAAGGGCUGGGUAAGACGGGUGCCAGCCGCCGCGGUAAUACCUGCAGCCCGAGUGGUGGUCGAUUUUAUUGAGUCUAAAGCGUUCGUAGCCGGUCCGUUAAAUCCUUGGGUAAAUCGGGAAGCUCAACUUUCCGACUUCCGAGGAGACUGGCGGACUUGGGACCGGGAGAGGCCAGAGGUACUUCUGGGGUAGGGGUAAAAUCCUGUAAUCCUAGAAGGACCACCGGUGGCGAAGGCGUCUGGCUAGAACGGAUCCGACGGUGAGGGACGAAGCCCUGGGUCGCAAACGGGAUUAGAUACCCCGGUAGUCCAGGGUGUAAACGCUGCCGACUUGGUGUUGGGGGCCCUUCGGGGGAACUCAGUGCCGGAGAGAAGUUGUUAAGUCGGCCACUUGGGGAGUACGUCCGCAAGGAUGAAACUUAAAGGAAUUGGCGGGGGAGCACCGCAACGGGAGGAGCGUGCGGUUUAAUUGGAUUCAACACCGGAAAACUCACCAAGGGCGACUGUUACAUGAAAGCCAGGCUAAUGACCUUGCUUGAUUUUCAGAGAGGUGGUGCAUGGCCGUCGUCAGUUCGUACCGUAAGGCGUUCUCUUAAGUGAGAUAACGAACGAGACCCUCACCGAUAAUUGCCAGUCCGAUCCCCGGAUCGGGCGCACAUUAUAGGGACCGCUGGCGCUAAGUCAGAGAAAGAGUGGACGACGGUA
rnacentral:rRNA from 1 species